UACAGAGGGUGCAAACGUUGCUCGGAUUCACUGGGCGUAAAGGGCACGUAGGCGGUCAGGUAAAUCAGUCGUGGAAUCUCGCCGCUCACCGGCGGAAUUGCGACUGAAAAUGCCUGUCUUGAGAGCAGCAGGGGUGAGGGGAACUCUAGGUGGAGCGGUGAAAUGCGUAGAUAUCUAGAGGAACGCCGGAGGCGAAAGCGUCUCACUGGGCUGCUUCUGACGCUGAGGUGCGAAAGCCAGGGGAGCAAACGGG
rnacentral:rRNA from 1 species